rnacentral:lncRNA from 10 species
GCUGUUUCUAGCUCUCGCCAUCCCUCGGCGUACUCUUCCUCUCCUCCGAGUCAGAGUACCCUGGAGGGAUAAUGCUCUGCAGAUGAGGUUCUUGCUAUGUUGCCUAGGCUGGUCUUGAACUUCUGGCCUCAAGAAAUCCUCCUCCUGAUCCUCCUACCUCAGCCUUCCAAAGUGUUGGGAUUACAGCACUGGCUAGAACUUCCAUCCCUGUGGUGAAUAAGAGUGAUGAAAGUGGACACCAUCGUAUUAUUGAAUUGAAGGGAUGUAGAUGGAUAACAUGACCACAAGAGUUAGGCCCCGAAGCAGAUGAUUGCCUCUGGCACCCGCCGUAUGCAAUUCGAGGUGAAAUUUCCAAGAGCCAAAUGAAAUAAUUGCAACAGGGAAAUUUGGAGAAAGGAUCACUCAGCAGAGCUUCUGCUAUUCCUUCUCCUCAGUAGUGACAGAGCACUUCUCCC